CCUACGGGUGGCAGCAGUGGGGAAUAUUGGACAAUGGGGGGAACCCUGAUCCAGCGACGCCGCGUGAGUGAAGAAGUAUCUCGGUAUGUAAAGCUCUAUCAGCAGGGAAGCAAGAAAUGACGGUACUUGACUAAGAAGCCCCGGCUAACUACGUGCCAGCAGCCGCGGUAAUACGUAGGGGGCAAGCGUUAUCCGGAUUUACUGGGUGUAAAGGGAGCGUAGACGGUUACGCAAGUCUGGAGUGAAAGGCGGGGGCCCAACCCCCGGACUGCUGUGGAAACUGUAUAUCUGGAGUGCAGGAGAGGUAAGUGGAAUGCCUGGUGUAGCGGUGAAAUGCGUAGAUAUUAGGAGGAACACCAGUGGCGAAGGCGGCUUACUGGACUGUAACUGACGUUGAGGCUCGAAAGCGUGGGGAGCGAACAGGAUUAGAUACCCGGGUAGUC
rnacentral:rRNA from 1 species